rnacentral:rRNA from 1 species
GCCCACCGUAAGGUGUUGGGUUAAGUCUUGCAACGAGCGCAACCCUCUUGUUUAGUUGUCAUCUUUAAGUUUGGAACCCUGAAUAGACUGUCGGUGAUAAGUUGGAGAAAAGUGAGGGUGA